rnacentral:rRNA from 1 species
AGCGAACGCUGGCGGCAGGCCUAACACAUGCAAGUCGAACGAACCUUUCGGGGUUAGUGGCGGACGGGUGAGUAACACGUGGGAACGUGCCUUUAGGUUCGGAAUAACUCAGGGAAACUUGUUCUAAUACCGAAUGUGCCCUUCGGGGGUAAGAUUUAUCGCCUUUAGAGCGGCCCGCGUCUGAUUAGCUAGUUGGUUGAGGUAAUGGCUCACCAAGGCGACGAUCAGUAGCUGGUCUGAGAGGAUGAUCAGCCACAUUGGGACUGAGACACGGCCCAAACUCCUACGGGAGGCAGCAGUGGGGAAUCCUGCGCAAUGGGCGAAAGCCUGACGCAGCCAUGCCGCGUGAAUGAUGAAGGUCUUAGGAUUGUAAAAUUCUUUAACCGGGGACGAUAAUGACGGUACCCGGAGAAGAAGCCCCGGCUAACUUCGUG